rnacentral:misc_RNA from 1 species
AAUUCUCAACUCUCUUAUACUUUGUUGUGUAGGAGGGCUUGGAUUGUGGAGGUUUGCUGGCAACUUGUUUGCGGUCAGCUCCUCUGAAAUGCAUUAGCGGAACCGUUUGCGAUCUGCCACAAGUGUGAUAAACUAUCUACACUGGCGAGGGGAUUGCUCUCUGUGUUGUUCAGCUUCUAAUCGUCUCAGUUUGAGACAACUUUUUGAAU